UACGAAGGGGGCUAGCGUUGCUCGGAAUCACUGGGCGUAAAGCGCACGUAGGCGGCUUUCUAAGUCAGGGGUGAAAUCCUGGAGCUCAACUCCAGAACUGCCUUUGAUACUGGAAAGCUUGAGUUCGAGAGAGGUGAGUGGAACUGCGAGUGUAGAGGUGAAAUUCGUAGAUAUUCGCAAGAACACCAGUGGCGAAGGCGGCUCACUGGCUCGAUACUGGCGCUGAGGUGCGAAAGCGUGGGGAGCAAACAGG
rnacentral:rRNA from 1 species